UACAGAGGUCCCGAGCGUUGUUCGGAUUCAUUGGGCGUAAAGGGUGCGUAGGUGGGCAGGUAAGUCAGUGGUGAAAUCCCCCGAGCUUAACUUGGGACUGCCGUUGAUACUAUCUGUCUUGAAUAUCGUGGAGGUUAGCGGAAUAUGUCAUGUAGCGGUGAAAUGCAUAGAGAUGACAUAGAACACCAAUUGCGAAGGCAGCUGGCUACACGUAAUUGACACUGAGGCACGAAAGCGUGGGGAGCAAACAGG
rnacentral:rRNA from 1 species